rnacentral:lncRNA from 1 species
AAUAUUGCUUCCUUCGACUGAUGAGAUUUAUGGGUGCUGUAUGGAUGAUUUAUAGAGAAGAUCACUUAAUACUCUCUCGACUGUUCUCGAUAAAACCAUGGUCUGCCCAACACUGUGCUGCUGCAGGACCAUACCCCAUUUCACCAAGCAAGGUGUGCCAACAGCCACAGCCCAGAGAGCCCUGGGAGCAACGUUAGAGCUUGUAGGAGCAUCCCCGAUGCCAAUGUGUGACCUUGCUAAGGGCUGCAGUUAAUGCAGAUUCAACAAAUAAAUAAACAUUUGCAAUAGGUUCAGACGUGACCUCAUCCCAACGGUGAUCACUAACAGAAUUAUUGACCUGACCGUUUGCUGCUGGAGAAUUUUGGAAAUGCCAGGUUCAUUACAGCCCUGCUUAUUGCCAGGAAGCAUUACAGCUUUGUGCUCGCAGCAGCUUUAAAGGCAGAUGAAAGCCAUAACGCCGGGUCACCCCAGAGACACACCAAGUGCAUCAUCUCAGGUGACCUUUGGGGCUGGGAAGAAGCUGCAGUUUCCCACUAGCAUCCAUGAGUCAACACGAGCAUCAAGUCACAGCAGCACGCCGAACCUCAUUUAUCAUUCCAUUUAAGGUGUCAGCAGAGCCAUUAUUCAAAUGAAUGGCCACGCAUGCAAUCAAUCUUUAAUGAAACAAUAAUUGCACCUUCCACUCUGCAAGACCUCUGCCUUUCUUAAAGGUAUCCUGUGUAUUAAUUAUUGAAAAUGUCUGUGUUUUACCAGCAGUAAGUUAUGUUUCACCAAUUGCCAUCUUUCAAGAGAGUUUUAACUGGGAAAUUUAUGACUCUCGAUUUCGCUAAGGAAAAAAUAAACAGCAGA